AGAGUUUAUUAAUUUAUUUUCAAUUAGAAUUUUGUUGCUCUGCAUCCAAAAUUUUAUUUACUGCUAAUUUUAUUUUUUAUUUUUAUUGUUAUUAUAACCAAUUUCUUUCUAAUCUGUGUAUGCGAGGUAAGGCCUCAGCUGAUUUUCAUUUUGACGCAGAACCAGAGAGAACAUUGCGUGCAAAGCUCAGAGAAGCUAGAAGAAAGAAACUGGCAAACUCUGACACCGAAGAACCGGCCACACCUGGCACACCAGUCUCUGUUCACUCCGAAAAAUCUGAGUCAGACACAGAUUCACAUCCAGACACUGUAAACAUGGCUGCAG
rnacentral:lncRNA from 1 species